rnacentral:rRNA from 1 species
GACGAACGCUGGCGGCGUGCCUAAUACAUGCGAGUCGAGCGGACGAAUCGAAAGCUUGCUUUUGAUUCGUUAGCGGCGGACGGGUGAGUAACACGUGGGCAACCUGCCCUGUAGACGGGGAUAACACCGAGAAAUCGGUGCUAAUACCGGAUAACACGAAAUGUCGCAUGACGUUUCGUUGAAAGACGGCGCAAGCUGUCGCUACAGGAUGGGCCCGCGGCGCAUUAGCUAGUUGGUGAGGUAACGGCUCACCAAGGCGACGAUGCGUAGCCGACCUGAGAGGGUGAUCGGCCACACUGGGACUGAGACACGGCCCAGACUCCUACGGGAGGCAGCAGUAGGGAAUCUUCCGCAAUGGACGAAAGUCUGACGGAGCAACGCCGCGUGAGCGAAGAAGGCCUUCGGGUCGUAAAGCUCUGUUGUUAGGGAAGAACAAGUAACGCAGUAACUGGCGUUACCGUGACGGUACCUAACGAGAAAGCCACGGCUAACUACGU